AUACUAUUGAAACUAGUCUCUGGUUCGGAGACACCGACAUUGCUCGCGUCUGGUCCAUCCGAGCUGAGCGGGCAGACAACUGGGACCUUACAGAGAUCGAUGCCAUUCAGCCAGAUCUAUCUUUUCUUGCCAACCGAGAGUGGGAACUAGAACAGGAUUAUGUUUGCCUAUUCCAACGUAUAACGCCGCCUGUCUUUGACAUGAUGGGGCUUAUUGAC